rnacentral:rRNA from 1 species
GACGAACCACACGAACGUUAUUCGGAAUUACUGGGCUUAAAGGGUGCGUAGGCGGCGCGGUAAGUAGGGUGUGAAAUCCCUCGGCUCAACCGAGGAACUGCGCUCUAAACUACCGUGCUCGAGGGAGAUAGAGGUGAGCGGAACUUAGGGUGGAGCGGUGAAAUGCGUAGAUAUCGGGAGGAACACCAGUGGCGAAGGCGGCUACCUGGCCCACUCUUGACGCUGAGGCGCGAAAGCUAGGGGAGCAAACGGG